rnacentral:rRNA from 1 species
UACAGAGGGUGCAAGCGUUGUUCGGAAUUAUUGGGCGUAAAGGGAGUGUAGGCGGCUUGUUAAGUCUUCUGUGAAAUCUACGGGCUCAGCCUGUAACGUGCAGAGGAAACUGGCAAGCUUGAGUGUCGGAGAGGAUAGGGGAAUACCCGGUGUAGAGGUGAAAUUCGUAGAGAUCGGGUGGAACACCAGUGGCGAAGGCGCCUAUCUGGCUGACAACUGACGCUGAGACUCGAAAGCAUGGGGAGCAAACAGG